AACGAACGCUGGCGGCAUGCCUAACACAUGCAAGUCGAACGAGACCUUCGGGUCUAGUGGCGCACGGGUGUGUAACGCGUGGGAACCUUCCCUUAGGUUCGGCAUAACUCUCCGAAAGGGGUGCUAAUACCGGAUAAUGUCUUCGGACCAAAGAUUUAUCGCCCUUGGAUGGGCCCGCGUUGGAUUAGCUUGUUGGUAGGGUAAAAGCCUACCAAGGCGACGAUCCAUAGCUGGGAUGAGAGGAUGAUCAGCCACACUGGGAGUGGGACACGGCCCGGACUCCUACGGGAGGCAGCAGUGGGGAAUAUUGGACAAUGGGGGAAGGCCUGAUCCAGCAAUGCCGGGUGAGUUAUGAAGGCCUUAGGGUUGUAAAGCUCUUUUACCCGGGAUGAUAAUGACAGUACCGGGAGAAUAAGCUCCGGCUAACUCCGUG
rnacentral:rRNA from 1 species